UGGUUUUAAAUAUUCUGCUACUAGAGCAGAAUAAUCCAGUCUAGUUUUGAAGCGUUUAGGUGUUGGUAGUUUUUAAACUAGAGUCGAUCCAAGAUGCGGAAGCUAUUGAAAAAUUAGGUGGAAUCGCCCUUUAGCCAUUUCCCGAAUCGUAAGCUAGAAUUUUUAACCAACUUCAGUUUCGUCAAAAGGCACCAAUCCCACCUGGGAACACCCAGAAUGUGCUGGAGAGUUUUGUCUGGGUUUCCCUCCAGGACCUGCUAGCCAAUCUUGGUUAAGCAGAAGACAAUAGAUAGGUGGCCACUUAAAAAUUUCUAUAGGAUAUUGAUUAUUGAAUAAAUGUUCAAAAUGUCCCGUUGUCAACAAUGACAUAGUUAUUAGGUUAGGAUUAGAUUACAUCAGAAACUAGUUACAAAAUUACAGAUGCUGAAAUUCAAGCCAAAUGUUACACUAACUAUUUGCAUACUUGUGCAUUAGGUCCAUCAAGAUGACCGUUCAGGGGUAUUGAAACAUUUUACAAGUUAAGCUAUGGUCACUGCAUGGCUGCGGUGGUGUCACAGCAAUCAUGGAACCACAAGCACAAAUACUGCUCUUGGAAAACAUUCCUACUGGUAAUUAGCAUCUUUAGGAUACCAGUCACAUAAAGAAUAGUGAUUUGUCUCACUGCAAAUCACAACUGCAUUUAGUCAAGUUUUCAAAUUUAUUGAUAGUUUCACUGAAUAAACAGUGGGAAAAAAAUGUAAAGCUAACAAUCCCCACAGUAUGGACAUUUUGGGGGGUGUUAAACAUUAACUGGAAUUUGUCAUGACAAUAAUAAUCAGAAUUAUAAGAAAUGUAUCACGAUGAACUAUAAACAAUAGGGCCCACCCUUACAUGCCGACCUUUGUGGAAUUGGACACCAGUGUCAGACUGCAAAAGACUUGCUGAUGUUCACCUUUCAGCAGAACGACCUCAAACAACAGAAAACUUCAGAUCAAAGCACAAUCAUGCCUCAGAAUGUUGUCAGAAUCUAGAUGUAUGAUCUGUGAGGACCGGAAAACUGCUGUCAGAGCAAAAGGUACAUAAAGAAAAAAGCAUCAACUCAGCUUCAAAUGAACGCUACAGUUACCAGCUUUGAACUCUUAAAAAGUUGUUACUUUGUGUUGGUGUACCUGACACCAACACAAAGUAAAAUAUCAAUGAAAUACUUUAAGGUUGUAAAUUUGAGAAAAUAUGGGGAAGUUCAGGAUGUUUAAGUACUUCUGCAAGGUACUGUGUCUGCUAAAAUAAUGCAAGACUAGCAUGCAAUCUUGUUAUAUUUGAGGGCAUUUUUUAAAACCAGAGCAGACAAAACCUGAUAUUACAUUUUAUAAUAAAAUGUCUUGUUUUCAACAUCCAGAUGAGAGUCAUGCUGUGCAUAUCUACUUUAACCAGAGAUAUUAAGAAGCUUUUUUUUCCAUCCUGGAAUGAUAAUGUAAUUUUGCAGUUUUUAGCCCUUUUAGCCCAUUCCUUUUUGCAGAUGACAGGGAUUAAAUUAGAGAUGUGCUAUUUAAAGUAUUCUAAGAGAAAAAAGUGACAGAAGAAAGUUAAAAAAUAGCUUUUAUUUUAAUAGAAGCAGUCAGCUGUUCAUAUUUGAUAUGAAGUAAAAUAGCAGAAUGUCUAUACAAUUCUUUUUGAAACUCAGAGGACUAAAAAGAUUAACUGUUUAGCAUACUACAAACAUGGCUUCCAGGAAGCAGCAGAAUAUUUUCUCUUUCACCAAAACUUGCUAGAAAAAAAAAGAUUACUGAAAGUAUGAGGCAAAAAAAAAAAA